rnacentral:rRNA from 1 species
UACGUAGGUGGCAAGCGUUGUCCGGAAUUAUUGGGCGUAAAGCGCGCGUAGGCGGUCCUUUAAGUCUGAUGUGAAAGCCCACGGCUCAACCGUGGAGGGUCAUUGGAAACUGGGGGACUUGAGUGCAGGAGAGAAGAGUGGAAUUCCACGUGUAGCGGUGAAAUGCGUAGAGAUGUGGAGGAACACCAGUGGCGAAGGCGACUCUUUGGCCUGCAACUGACGCUGAGGCGCGAAAGCGUGGGGAGCAAACAGG